rnacentral:tRNA from 1 species
UGUUCCAUAGUGUAGCGAUUAGCACAUCUGCUUUACAUGCAGAAGGCCCUGGGUUCCCGCCCCAGUGGAGCCA